rnacentral:rRNA from 1 species
GUCUUCUUGAUUAUAUUUUGAAGUCUGGCCUGCUCACUGAAAAAUUUUAAAGAGCCGCGGUAUUUUGACCGUGCAAAGGUAGCAUAAUCAUUAGUUUCUUAAUUAGAGACUUGGAUGAAUGGUUUAACGAGAAAUUAACUGUCUCUUAAUAAAUUCUAGAAUUUAACUUUUAAGUUAAAAGGCUUAAAUAUUUCUUUUGGACGAGAAGACCCUAUAGAGCUUAACAUUUAAUAAUUUUAUAUGAUUUAGUUUAUUUAUUUAUACUAAUUUUUUGAUGUUUGGUUGGGGUGACAUGAAGAAUAAUUAAACUCUUCAUUAUAAAAUCAUUGAUUUAUGUUCAUUUGAUCCAUAAUUUAUGAUCAAAAGAUUAAGUUACCUUAGGGAUAACAGCGUAAUCAUUUUUGAGAGUUCAUAUCGACGAAGUGGAUUGCGACCUCGAUGUUGGAUUAAGAUUAAUUUUAGGUGUAGUGGCUUAAUAAUUAGG